GUGCCAGCCGCCGCGGUAAGACGAACCGUGCGAACGUUGUUCGGAAUCACUGGGCUUAAAGGGCGCGUAGGCGGGCGGCCAAGUCAGGGGUGAAAUCUUUCGGCUCAACCGGAAAACAGCUUCUGAUACUGGUCGUCUUGAGCGAGGUAGGGGCAUGUGGAACUUCCGGUGGAGCGGUGAAAUGCGUAGAUAUCGGAAGGAACGCCGGUGGCGAAAGCGACGUGCUGGACCUCUUCUGACGCUGAUGCGCGAAAGCUAGGGGAGCAAACGGGAUUAGAUACCCCGGUAGUCCUAGCCCUAAACGUUGGGUACUAGAUUGUGGACUAAACAUGGGUUCACAGUCGAAGCAAAAGUGUUAAGUACCCCGCCUGGGGAGUAUGGUCGCAAGGCUGAA
rnacentral:rRNA from 1 species